UCGGACCCUGGUCGACGUAAAAAGGCCCUCCGUCACUUCCGGCGCUAGUAGAGCGGGACGCCGAGGCGGUGGCGGGAGGUCAGUCUGCAGCGGGCGAGGCGGCGGUGGUGGCAGCGAGUAGCUGAAGCGGCGGCGACAGCAGCAGCAGCGGCGGCAAAUCCAGCAGCGGCGGCGGCAGGACAGGGCAGCGAGGCAGCCCCGCAGCAGCAUGAGCGACAGCGGCGAGCAGAACUACGGAGAACGGGUUAAUGUUGAAGAAGGAAAAUGCGGAAGUCGUCAUUUGACAAGUUUUAUAAAUGAGAAUUAUUUGAAGCUCAGGAAUAAGUGAAGCUGAAAUUUGAAAAAAAAAGAAUGCAUGCUAAUUAUCAGACCAGAAGUCCCACUUAUAGAAUAUUGAGCAGUUUGUGUGAAGUGGGGAAGAUGAAAGAAGUCAGAAUUUGAAACGGAAGAAUGAAGAAAAGAAAUAAAAGU